rnacentral:sRNA from 1 species
UACUUAUUUGAAACGUCAAUAAAAUUAAAAGUACUUCAGUUAUUGUUUUAAAUCUUUUUUUUUUUUUUUUGACAAUACAAUAUCACAUUUUAUAUGCAGUCUUGAAAAUGGCAUGGGGUAAAUGGUGACCGUUAUUGCGCCUACACUGAUUAAAUCGAUUUUUGAAAUUCGUGUCCACUCUGCAAUCUGUACGUUGACAAUGGAGUCGCGAAUGUUGUUCUUGAGAUGUGCUGUGGUACGUGGUCGAUCGACAUAAACCAGGAAUUUCAAAUAAAUCCAUAAAAUGAAAUCGCACAGACUCAAAUCUGGAGAGAGCGCCGGCCAUUGGAGAUCGCCUCUAAGAGAGAUGAGGCGGUCGGGGAAAUGUUGUCGCAACAAAUUUAUUUAGUCUCUUACUGUGUGUGCUGUGGGACCAUCUUGCCGAAACCACAAGUUUUUAACAUUAAGUUCAUGCAUUCACGGUAAGGGAAGGCACGUUGGUAAGCAACAAGCGAGCAACCGUUAGAAAAGAAGGUCUCGACGGCGAUGGCCCGCUGCUCCCUACACCAAUACAUGAUGGCAAGAGAGAAAAACAAACUUGGGGACUUCCCCCUCCAGAUGCGCACUCUCGACUCGCUCCCAGUUCAACUCACCGGUCGGGAGUUUUUUCAAUUAAGUAAGUUUCUUUAGGGCAUCCUGUACAUGUUUGGAGGGAUAUUGGCGUUAGGCACUUUCUCUACCUCUAGGAACUUGACACUACAUUUAUUAUUCCAGAAAUAUUCAGGCUUUUUUUUAUACCCUUCACCAAAAUGGGGAACCAUAUUGAAAGUGAUCCAAAAAAUCUAGGUAAGGGAUUUUUUCUUCUUCUGACAUAAUAACUUCACCUUGACUAGAAUUUCCCACAUCCCAGAUUUUAACCCUCAAAUUAUUCACCGGGAUAAUAAAACGAGUGUAGAGUGACCUGCAUAGUACAAACUAUGACACAAUUAAAUUUCAAAAAUAUAUUCCUGUUUCAAUUGCAAGCUGCAAGAUGACAUAUGCUUGGAUCGUAUAAAUGUAUGUGUGAACCUCUGAGCCGUGGAGACACCACUAAAACAUCUGGAACAUAUCAAAAUAAAAAUAUUAUUUACGAGCAUUCGCUUAAACAAGCCCCCUUCCAAGUGGUUCGUAUUAUAUCACAAAGCAAUCUUGAAAUAUUAAAUCCAAGUGAAGUUAUUUACUUUAACACUUAAAUAUUAAAAUUUUAUCAAAUAUUUGUGUACUUCAGAAUGUUGUCAUUUAGCAUUUACAAUAAACUUAUAACAAUGUUUUGUGAAUCCA